rnacentral:rRNA from 1 species
AUGGGAACGCGAAGAACCUUACCUACUCUUGACAUCCAGAGAACUUUCCAGAGAUGGAUUGGUGCCUUCGGGAACGUCUGAGACAGGUGCUGCAUGGCUGUCGUCAGCUCGUGUUGUGAAUGUUGGGUUAAGUCCCGCAACGAGCGCAACCCGUUAUCCUUUGUUGCCAGCGGUUCGGCCGGGAACUCAAAGGAGACUGCCAGUGAUAAACUGGAGGAAGGUGGGGAUGACGUCAAGUCAUCAUGGCCCUUACGAGUAGGGCUACACACGUGCUACAAUGGCGCAUACAAAGAGAAGCGACCUCGCGAGAGCAAGCGGACCUCAUAAAGUGCGUCGUAGUCCGGAUUGGAGUCUGCAACUCGACUCCAUGAAGUCGGAAUCGCUAGUAAUCGUAGAUCAGAAUGCUACGGUGAAUACGUUCCCGGGUCUUGUACACACCGAGUCGUGGG